AUGCUUGGUCUCUUAUUGAUCUUCACUGUAACAGCUGCAGCAUCACAACACAGAGAGGUUUUUGUACGAUCAGUAAUAGGGAUUGUAUCACUGUGGUGGACUUUUGGUAGCGGCACCAGACUAGAUGUUGGAAGUAACAGUUCCCCCACCCUCACCGUCCUGCCCCCCUCUAGUGAGGAGCUGUCCAGUACAACAACUGCCACACUGACGUGUCUGGCCAACAAGGGCUUCCCCUCAGACUGGACCAUGAGCUGGAAAGUGGAUGGGACCAGCAAGAAGCAGGAGGCCAGUCCCGGGGUCCAUGAGAAGGACGGCCUGUACAGCUGGAGCAGCACCCUGACUCUCACUGCCCAGGAGUGGACCAAGGCAGGAGAGGUGACCUGUGAAGCCCAGCAGAAAUCCCAGACUUCAGUCAUCAAGACCCUGAGGAGGGCUGACUGUUCUGGGUAGGACCCCUCAGUCACACCUCUGUGGAGAGAGGAUGCUGGUUCCUCUGCUUUGACUUGCUUUUUUCUAAAAUCAGUCGUUCUCUGAUUUAGUGAUCACUCUGGUGUGGACUAACAGGGGGCUAGGCUUGAGUUCAUGUGUCAAUCCAUUCGGUAGAUUGAGAUUUUGUUAGUUUUAGAUUUAAUGUGAUCUGCUUUUAUUCACUAUCAUGUUUGCUUUGAUGCUUCAAUUUUGUGAUAAUGGAUUUAAAUAAAGAUUUUUUUUUGGAAUGCA